AAUGAGUUUUAUGCUACUGGGACUGCCAAAUAGCAUAGUGGCAGGAGAGCAUGUGGAUGGCAGGAGGGCGUGUGGAUGGAGGAGAAAUCUGUGGGUGUUGGGAAGGCAUGGUGAUGGGGACAAGAAGGCAGGGCACACCAGAUUAAUCUACCUGGGCACUUACCUGCUUUCUGUGAUGGGCAUGCCCCAAACAGGAAUCAGCGGAGCCAGUACUUCAAUUGAAUUAAACCUACUUUUCUCAGUAAAGUGAAAAAUAAGAUCGAUUUUGGGAGCACAGUGCCCGUGAGAUUUUUAAAAAGUACAAAUUGUCCUAAGUCAGCACAGGUAUCCUUGUAAUGGGGACAGAGGGACAGCAGCAUUUCUCCAUCUGUCCAUGAGCAGGAGUCACCUGGGAUCCAUGAAAUGAAAUGCAGGUUCUGGUGUCACGGGUCUCGGGUAGGGCCUGAAGUACCGCAUUUCUUUUUUGUUUGUUUUGUUUUUCAAGACAGGGUUUCUCUGUAUAACAGUCCUGGCUGUCCUGGAACAACUUCUGCAUUUCUAACAAGCUUGGCCAACAUUACACACCCCUGGAGUGGCAAGGCUCCGUGACAUUCCUAGCACAUGAGAAAGCCCAACUGCCCAGGUCAGCCAAGUGCAAAGGUGAUGCCCCACCCAAUCUGCCAAAUGGAAAUCUUCUAGAUCAUUCUAUAGUUCCCAGGGGACCUCCUUGCCUAGUCUUGCCACCAACACUAACAGUAGAAAACUCCUUUUUGUUUGUCAUGCAUCUCUUCCCAUGUUAGGUCAGGGAAAGGGAUAUGAUCAACCAGGGAACCCUGGGGAGGAGUGCGGUCGGGAAUCUCAGAGGAAGCAAAAGCAACUGGAGCAGGCAAAACAGACCUUGGGAGUGUCUCACCCGGGCCUUGAAAGCAGGAAGUGCAGGAAGGAUAGAGAGGUCCUCUCUCCAAUGCAGCUUCAAGUAUCCUGGGACAAGAGAAGCACGGAAGAGAUCGGAUGCCCAGGCCCAGUACCAGCUACAGAAGGGGCUAAUAGCAUGCGACCAGGACUAGAUGCUCAGUUUGUGUUCCGAUAUGGUCAGACAUUAAACUGGAGGAAACUCAGCCAUUACUCUCAAUAUUGAAUCAGAUCAGAAGUUAAUAGUUUCUGACCUUUCGUGACUUCUGACUAUUUUUGAAAGACUGUGAUCUUUUAAGCCAAAAUCAAUAAAAUGAGGGACAGGAAUUAGAUGAAUACCAACUUCCAGCAAGGUGCCAAAUAGAAGCUAAUGUAGUCCAGACUCCACGAGGCAAUCAAUUAUGAAAAACAGAAAUGGAGUGAGCAGCCUGAGUGGCAGGAAGUGGGGGAUGCGCCAGCAAUGCUUCAAGGCCGGUGAGUACUGGAAGAACUCGUGCCCCCUUCAAGAACUAUGCCACUUUUAUAUCUGCAAACAGAACCCCAGUAACUUCAGGUGAGGCAACCCCAUCCCUAGCCUCAAUACUGAGUCGAAUUCUGAUUGUCUAUGCCAAACAUGUAAUCUCUUCACAUGGAAUGAGAAAAGGCAUGUGACCUGAUGUGACUUGACAGUCCUCCUGUGGAACUCUGGGUAGUUACUUCUUGCAAAAGGAAAGGCAUCAAAAAGCCAUUGCCCUCACACAUAAUCAGGGGCAUCCAGACUGGCAAUGGAAGGUGCCUUCCCCACACCCACCCAGAGAUGGAAGUGAACCAGAGGAAACUCUAGCAUUUGCCAACUGUUAGGUGUCACUCUGACUCUUUCAGUUGUGUAGGGAAAGGACAGGACCCUUACACAGAGGCCUCUACCUCUGCCCAAAUGUAUUACUGGUAUCGGAGCCCCAACUCUAGCAAAGCAUUGUUUUCUUUAAUGUGAAUGUGUACCCUGAGUUGGGGAGGUGGGGGAACCAAACAAAUCUAUCUCUUCUUCCAAGAACGUGGCAGUGUGUUAUUCUGGGAGAACAGAUGUUAAGCUGUUAAGAAUAGAUAUCUAGUAUAGGAGUGUAACUCAGGACAGCUGGGAAAGGGGAGAAGGGGGGUGUUGCUGACAGCAGUCUCACUAUGAUGCAGGACUUCAAGGCCAGAGUGAGGGGCAGGGAAGGGAUGCCGGUGGAAACACCCAGGGCCUCCAUGCUGUCUCUGUGGGCCAGCCUUCAGCUAAAAUCUAUUAGCACUAAGGGCAGAUCCAUUCUGCUGGAAUAGCUGGACAGUGUGGCUGCCGUGUCCACUCAGGGUAGGAGCAACAUAGCAGGAGAGUGAAGGCCUCUCUCCAGAGAAAGUAAGACUGGUCAUUUCCUCACCUUUGCUUUGGAACCCUCAGAGGCAACUAGGAAAACAUGCUGCCACCAUAGCAGAAGGAGACAGGAGGGCCUGGCAGGGGAACAAAGGUUUUUGCUACCCUGCCCUGUUCCACUGGACAUGGCUUGAAGUAAGCCCCUUUCAGUGAAACCAACCCAGCCUCCCCAUACCUCACCAGGGCAAGCAUGCCGUUGCUGACCGCUGGGAAGUGAAGAAAGAAACAGUUCACUUGACACCAUUUAGAUGGCAUGGGCUGUGCUGGCAUGAGAAAAUCUGGGCUCCCAAGGCAUGGGGCUCCAAGAGCUACCUGCGCCUAGAUAUUAAUGCACUGUAGACAUCACCAGCUCUGUACUUUGGAGCAAGAGGAAGCCCCUUUACCUGGCCCCCACAAAUCAGGGGGGCCUCAGCUGGCCUGUGUUAUUCUGCAAAAUUUCACAGCUUAGAAUAGAUGGCAAUUGACUGGCUUGUCUGUGUCUGGCAGCACAGUACUGCAUCAGGAGCCAGGUCCCAGGCCCCUGUUCCCUGCUUGCUCUGCCUCAUCAGCACACUGACGUAAUGUGGUAAGCAGAACACCAGGGAGACAGAGCAUUCCAGGCACAGCUCUCCAUCCUUUAUAGAUCUCCCUUGAUGCUCACAACCUCUCCAUGGGCUGGACAUAUCUCAGUUUUACAGAAACCAGAGGGGCUUAACCAGCUUCAAGCUUUACACUCUUGAUGACCACUCCAUCAGCAAGAACAAGGGGUGGGGUGGGAGGAAUGUGAGCUUUCUCCCUAGGAGAAGAGAAGGCAGACCUCAUGGGCCACAUGGCCACUGGGUUACAAGGAAGACUGAGAAAUGGAAACUCUACGGGCAUGUGCUGUGCAGCUGGCUAAAUCCACACUUGCUUUGGGUGAAGGCUUGCCCAGAUCCCUGUGAUGAUUUGAACCACCAUUCAAGAUGUACCAUGCCGUGACUGGUGGCAGCACAACCAUCACUCGACUCGUUACCUCCACUGAGAAGAUGCUCCUACUUCUCCUUGUGACUAGGUUCAACAGCCCCUCCCUAUAUGGGGCUCCUUACUCUGCAUUAUUACAGGAUGUUUCCCUAGUCCCACACACAUGUACAAGCACAGUUUGUUUGGCCCAUACAGUAUGUAAAAAAGAAAAGAGUACAAAAUUCCAACCAUGGGCUGGGGAGAUAGCCCAGUCUGCAAACAUGAAACCUAGAAUCCACACUAGCAAGGCCAGGCAUAAUGAUGUUGGGUAGUCCCAGCACUGGGAAGGCAGAAAUGGAAAGGUUGUCAGGCCUUUCUGGCCAACCUAGUUGAAAAACCAGUCUCCAGGCUAGUAAAAGACCCUGUCUCAAAGCAAACAAAUAAGCAUAAGCAAACAAAAUAGACAAACCAGGUGCAUGGGGGCCAGCAAAAUGGCUCUGGGUAAAGGCUCUUGCUGUUCAAACCUAAGAUACUGAGUUUGAUCCCCAGAACCCAUGUAAAGGUGGAAGGAGAGGAUCAACCCACAAAACUGCCCUCAGACCUCCACAAGCAUGCUAUGGCAUGCAUAUCCAUACAUGCAUAUGUAUAUUAAUAAUAAAUUUAAAAAUUUUUAAA
ensembl:lincRNA